rnacentral:sRNA from 1 species
UCUGACCUCGGCAAUCAGCUCAGUGAAGGUAGUUAGGGCAACAAGCUGACGUGCGGUGAAAAGGUCACUCCACUUGGUCA